GACGAACGCUGGCGGCGUGCCUAAUACAUGCAAGUUGAGCGAUGAAGAUUGGUGCUUGCACCAAUUUGAAGAGCAGCGAACGGGUGAGUAACGCGUGGGGAAUCUGCCUUUGAGCGGGGGACAACAUUUGGAAACGAAUGCUAUUACGCAAAAAAACUUUAAACAUAAGUUUUAAGUUUGAAAGAUGCAAUUGCAUCACUCAAAGAUGAUCCCGCGUUUUAUUAGCUAGUUGGGGAGGUAAAGGCCCACCAAGGCGAUGAUACAUAGCCGACCUGAGAGGGUGAUCGGCCACAUUGGGACUGAGACACGGCCCCAACUCCUACGGGAGGCAGCAGUAGGGAAUCUUCGGCCAUGGACGAAAGUCUGACCGAGCAACGCCGCGUGAGUGAAGAAGGUUUUCGGAUCGUAAAACUCUGUUGGUAGAGAAGAACGUUGGUGAGAGUGGAAAGCUCAUCAAGUGACGGUAACUACCCAGAAAGGGACGGCUAACUACGUG
rnacentral:rRNA from 1 species